GCACCAAAGCAAUCGAAGUUCUCAAAAUAGAGUCUUUAGUCUAAGCGGGGAAUGCGAAUAACUAUAACAAACUGUUAAUGACUCAGAAGUCGGAUUCGAAAUGUGAUCGAUGGCACCUUGUACGUCAGGCUUAGGGCUUAGGGUUGAGUACUUCAGUGCCUCAGAGGUCAGGCAUCAGCCGUGAAUAUACAUAUACGACAGACUCUAAAAAGAUGUAACUGCUAUACUCCAUAGUUACUCUGUAGAAACAUCAACUUUAGACCCCACAAAUCGCACAAACACGAUUUUAAUUCUAUCCAGACGACGCAAUCCCCUGUUGCUUGGUAUAAUCGGCUCUCGAUAGCAGUCCGGAUGAAGAGGACACAUCGUUUGCUCGACGCAAGGACUGAAGCAAACCGGGUUGCAAGGCAAACAAUAGAUAACUUACACAGAGUAGAGGAAAAUAGUAGAAGGAGGUCAAGUCACAUGCGUUCGACUCCGACUGCUUCAUUGGGGAGGAAGGAAAGAACAUGAAACAGGGAAACUGCCGCCCUCUACCUACCUAAUCCAUCAAUUGUCUUCAGCAACUUUCUUCUCCUGCAACGACUACCUCUCUACAAUCCAGCAUCAGUCGUGGCAUCAAAACAAGUGUGUGUGUUU
rnacentral:lncRNA from 1 species